rnacentral:rRNA from 1 species
GGCGGCGUGCUUAACACAUGCAAGUCGAACGAUGAAGCCUUUCGGGGUGGAUUAGUGGCGAACGGGUGAGUAACACGUGGGCAAUCUGCCCUUCACUCUGGGACAAGCCCUGGAAACGGGGUCUAAUACCGGAUAACACUCUGUCCUGCAUGGGACGGGGUUAAAAGCUCCGGCGGUGAAGGAUGAGCCCGCGGCCUAUCAGCUUGUUGGUGGGGUAAUGGCCUACCAAGGCGACGACGGGUAGCCGGCCUGAGAGGGCGACCGGCCACACUGGGACUGAGACACGGCCCAGACUCCUACGGGAGGCAGCAGUGGGGAAUAUUGCACAAUGGGCGAAAGCCUGAUGCAGCGACGCCGCGUGAGGGAUGACGGCCUUCGGGUUGUAAACCUCUUUCAGCAGGGAAGAAGCGAAAGUGACGGUACCUGCAGAAGAAGCGCCGGCUAACUACGUGCCAGCAGCCGCGGUAAUACGUAGGGCGCAAGCGUUGUCCGGAAUUAUUGGGCGUAAAGAGCUCGUAGGCGGCUUGUCACGUCGGAUGUGAAAGCCCGGGGCUUAACCCCGGGUCUGCAUUCGAUACGGGCUAGCUAGAGUGUGGUAGGGGAGAUCGGAAUUCCUGGUGUAGCGGUGAAAUGCGCAGAUAUCAGGAGGAACACCGGUGGCGAAGGCGGAUCUCUGGGCCAUUACUGACGCUGAGGAGCGAAAGCGUGGGGAGCGAACAGGAUUAGAUACCCUGGUAGUCCACGCCGUAAACGUUGGGAACUAGGUGUUGGCGACAUUCCACGUCGUCGGUGCCGCAGCUAACGCA